AGUGAACGCUGGCGGUAGGCCUAACACAUGCAAGUCGAACGGCAGCACAGUAAGAGCUUGCUCUUACGGGUGGCGAGUGGCGGACGGGUGAGGAAUACAUCGGAAUCUACUUUUUCGUGGGGGAUAACGUAGGGAAACUUACGCUAAUACCGCAUACGACCUACGGGUGAAAGCAGGGGAUCUUCGGACCUUGCGCGAUUGAAUGAGCCGAUGUCGGAUUAGCUAGUUGGCGGGGUAAAGGCCCACCAAGGCGACGAUCCGUAGCUGGUCUGAGAGGAUGAUCAGCCACACUGGAACUGAGACACGGUCCAGACUCUUACGGGAGGCAGCAUUGGGGAAUAUUGGACAAUGGGCGCAAGCCUGCUCCAGCCAUACCGCGUGGGUGAAGAAGGCCUUCGGGUUGUAAAGCCCUUUUGUUGGGAAAGAAAAGCAGCAGGUUAAUACCCCGCUGUUCUGACGGUACCCAAAGAAUAAGCACCGGCUAACUUCGUG
rnacentral:rRNA from 1 species